rnacentral:rRNA from 1 species
AUGAGCGGGCAGGUGCUCUUCGUCGGCCGGGCCAGCUCCAAGGCCUUCGACACGGGCCACGCCGGCAGCCCGGGCUACAUCUACUUCCUGGACGACGUCUACCCUGGUGGUCCGCACAGAGUCCUCCAGCAGAACAAGUAUCCCUGUGCCGAUGCCGGCGGGUGGCGUUACUCAUUCCCCCACGAGAUCGAGAUCGAGCGGUGCCUGCCAUCCGCGCCCCCCUCGGACACCUCGCCGUGCAUUUGGUACCACCAUCAAUGA